GUUGCAGGGGCAGUAGGACAGUACUAUUUGUAUGUAUGUGUGUGUGUGUAUGUGUGUGUGUGUGUGUGUGUGUUGGAGCUGGGGGAGGUAGACGGUGAGGGGGACGCCUCAGGACCCUGACGGCUCCGGUUGCCUGAGCCACGACCGCCGGGGUGGAGGAGGCUAGCCGCAGAUCGAUCGCCGCGGAGCUGGAUCCCAGCGAUAGGGGGGCGAUUGGAUGCAGCGCGCUGGGACUGAAUGACAUAAGCCCAGACGUCUAAGUGUCCCAUUAGCAAGACAGCCGCCCAUGUCCCGGUGCUUUCCUCCCCCCCCCCCUUGCCGAUGCUGGCAUCAUAUGGAAAACGGCUCAGGUGUUCCCCUCAAUUGCUCGAGGACGACUGCAACACAGAGGGCAGCAGCAGACACCAGGACAGCGACAGCUCUCUGCAUGUGGCACUUCUGAUCCUCCUCCAUAUCUGAGCGGAGUGGGGGACACCCGGGCCACGUGUGCACUUUCCCCACACUCAACUCGCAGGACGACACGCUGCGGUCAGAUUGUUGCCGACGAUUCCUAAACACAUAAGAAAUGAUGACAAAACAACGAGGCCACACACAGAGAGGCUGCUGCGACACACCGCCUGCUGGGCCCAAACACAGAGGCAGAGCCAAGCGUAACUAGGCUCUGGUGAAAGAGCGGCCUGCGUGUUUUAUUACUCUUCCACCCUCUGCAAAUGAGCAUAUUUACAUGUCGUCAAAAUGGGCUUCAGGGCUGGGAUAUCCUGCCCACAGUGUCCAUCAAACACUUCGGCACCCCCUGAUAAUAACAUACGCAGAAACACCGCGUCAAGCGGGGAAUUUGUAAAUCGUAACAUGAUCUGUCAUAAGA